rnacentral:rRNA from 1 species
AACGAACGCUGGCGGCAGGCCUAACACAUGCAAGUCGAACGCUGCAGCAAUGCAGAGUGGCAGACGGGUGAGUAACGCGUGGGAACCUUCCCAGUGGUACGGAAUAGCCCAGGGAAACUUGGGGUAAUACCGUAUAAGCCCCUAGGGGGAAAGAUUUAUCGCCAUUGGAUGGGCCCGCGUCGGAUUAGCUAGUUGGUGAGGUAACGGCUCACCAAGGCAACGAUCCGUAGCUGGUGAGAGAAUGACCAGCCACACUGGGACUGAGACACGGCCCAGACUCCUACGGGAGGCAGCAGUGGGGAAUCUUGGACAAUGGGCGCAAGCCUGAUCCAGCCAUGCCGCGUGAGUGACGAAGG